rnacentral:lncRNA from 1 species
UUGCCGCUGGAGUCGUAGCAAGUUACUAGCGUAGCAUUUGGCCAGCAGCAGCAGCAGCGAGUUCAGUAUUCGUCGUCUGUUCGUUUAGUUUGGAUGUUGUGUGAAAUAACUUCGCUUCUCGUCGCUCGGUUUUAUGAUUUCUUUCAAUUUUUCUAACACUCCAAAGUAAUUUUUGAUAUAUUUUCUCCAACUAUAAUUUAAACGAUAUUCAAGUGCGUGCGCGUGUGUCUUACAUAUUCUCUCGCUACGAACCUCGCAACUUUCGGUGUAUUUAAUUUGAAAAGGAAAUAAUCAUUAGAAAUACUAUUAGAAACGAGGAAAAUUGUGUCGCAACAAAUGUGCGUGAGCCAAAGUUAAUCCCAAGUGUGCGUUGCAGGGGCAAAUAUUGACAGCUGUCACCUGUCGCGAAAUCGUGGCAGUUGUCGGUGCCGCAGCUGCCAGCAGGCUAGCUAGUCGUAGUACUCACCGCGUCCAGCAUUUCUGCAAUUGUUGCAUAUUUUGCCGGCAAACGCGCAACAUUCUCAACAUUAACGACCGGUCAGACCCCCUAGACGUGCAUACAUACACACAAGCAUACAUAAGUGCAGCGUAUACAAUAAAUAAUAAACGUCAGCUGGUCGCUGCGCUGCCGCUGCACUUUGUACGUAGUGCCGUGUUACCCUCCCCCUUUUUGUGCUGCAUUUUGUAACAUGUAAGUGUCGGUGUGUUCGUUUUGUGUCGGCAAUUCGUUGUGCUUCAUUUUGCGUUGCAGUUGUUGAAUUUAUUAUUAUUACACAGCAAAAGAGUAAACUCAAAGGCGAAUAAAAAAAUUGGAAAAAAGUCGAAAAGGCAAAAUCGAAAAAACUACUUACAACGCGUACGCGAAUAAAUUCAUUAUAAUUCAUCAAAAUCAAGUGAACAACAACGAAAAAAAGUUAAUUAUCGUGCAUAUUCGCCCUUUUGGAUUGCUGUGCUUGUUGGUGGCGAGACUCGUGGAGUCACAAGCCAAAGGCCGGCCAGCUCAAGUAAUGAGCCGCCAUUGUAUGCGUUUAUCGCAAAUGAAGUGUGUGUAAAAUGGAAAUUAUUUAUUUGUGGGCAAAUGUGCUUAUUAAGUGCUGAAUUGUUGCAGAAAUUUACGCUAAAUUGUGAAAGUGUUGAAUUGUGAGCGAUAAGCGAAGAUUUAUUGCAAAGAAAUUAUUCUGCAAGUUACUGCAUGCACAUACAUACAUACAUACAUGAUUAUACAAAUAUUGUUGUACGCGAUAAAUGCAAAUAUGCUUAAUAAGUGAUUAUAAAAUAUAAAAUUAUUGUUCUAAUUAAAGUAAUACAAGUGAAUUUUAAGCAAUUUAAACGAAGGCAAGCAAGUUUCGAAGAAAAUUUUUUAAUAAUUACAUUCCAACUCACAGCGUCGUUAUUUUUGAGAGUCACUACAAACGCGACGCAGCGCGCAGGCAACUGCAACGAGACACGACGCGCCUGGCCGCUUGGAAGGCGUACAAAGGCACAAACAAGUGUUUUCAUGCGCGCGCGUAGCCAAGAAAGUCAAAGAAAUUCGAGUCAUAGCCACAAAGUGUUGCGGACCGGGGUGCGCCGUGUAACCAAAUAAAGACGCAGUCAAAAUAUAUAACACUUUUUUCCUGCGCAUGCAAAAAAAGAAGUUUAUAAUAAUAAGCAAAUAAAUCGCAUGAAGCGCGCCUGCCGACCGCAUAGUCCCUGCAAGUAGAAACGCAGUCUACCAACUCGCAGUUGGUUAUUGCUGAAUUUGAUACUGUGAGGAUAGCUAGCGUGUGCGUGAGUGCGCGUGUACUUGCGGCAAACGCCCCACUCGCCAAACGCGGACGAGCGCGCGGCGCGUUAAUCACGCGCAAACACAUGAAAUUCAACUAAAGUAAUUUGUACUUGAAAAAUCGCGCAAGUGAAAUCCGUGAAAUUGAAUUCGUGCCUAUCAGCGGAAAGAUGCUGGAGCGGCGACGCGCGAAAAGCAACCGCGAGUGUUGAGAAUGAAAACAGUUGAACUCACCGCCAACAGAUACAACAGCGACUGCGGCUGUGGCUGUUAUAAAGAAAAACAAAUUUCAUAAUUCGCCUGGUGGCUAUGACGGGCCGCUACAACAACAACAAUAAAUGUUAUAGUUGCGCUUCUUACAACGAAGAACAGCAGCGCAGCCCAUUAGACGCGGCGGAAAUUUAGUAGCAAAGCAAUUUUUCCUACGUCUUUUUGGUGUUGUUGGUGCUUUUGCGCUCACUAAUCGAUCGCGCGCGCACACACAACGAAAAAUCGGAAAGCUAUAAAAACAAAAAUCAAAACAAAA